rnacentral:rRNA from 1 species
UACGUAGGGUGCAAGCGUUGUCCGGAAUUAUUGGGCGUAAAGAGCUCGUAGGCGGUCUGUCGCGUCGGAUGUGAAAACCCAGGGCUCAACCCUGGGCCUGCAUUCGAUACGGGCAGACUAGAGUUCGGUAGGGGAGACUGGAAUUCCUGGUGUAGCGGUGAAAUGCGCAGAUAUCAGGAGGAACACCGAUGGCGAAGGCAGGUCUCUGGGCCGCAACUGACGCUGAGGAGCGAAAGCAUGGGGAGCGAACAGG